AACAAAGAGAUGUAGAAUAAUUGGUUGAACCUCCAAGCUAGAGUAAAUAAUGGACCAAAUAAGUUUAUGAGAGUGACUUUCCUCCUAACAUUCAGGUGAAACAGCGUGUUAUAUCAAGAUGGGUCUUCUGUUUGAGUUUCUUAUGUAAUAAUAUUAAAAUUACUUAACAGAUUUCACUUCAUUAAGAAACUGCAAUCAUGAAAGAAAACACUAGAUGGCUGGGUGGUUCUACAGGCUAUACGGAAACCAUAAACAAUCUCAACAAAAACUGAAGACCAGUUGCAAUUCUGGAAAGUAAAAGACGCAAUCAACCCCAUUAAAAUUGAAGACCAAACGCAAUUCUGGAAAAAAUAAGUGGGAAAAUUGAAAUGGGUAUGAAUCGUCCAAACAAUCGCUUGUACCGUAACUUCAUAGCCGGAGAUGAAUCUUGGUCGGGUGGCGGGUGGGUGGGUUCUAUUUUGG
rnacentral:lncRNA from 1 species